UACGUAGGGUGCAAGCGUUGUCCGGAAUUAUUGGGCGUAAAGAGCUCGUAGGCGGCCUGUUGCGUCCGCUGUGAAAAGCCCGGGGGCUUAACCCCGGGUCUGCAGUGGAUACGGGCAGGCUAGAGGUAGGUAGGGGAGAAUGGAAUUCCCGGUGUAGCGGUGAAAUGCGCAGAUAUCGGGAGGAACACCGGUGGCGAAGGCGGUUCUCUGGGCCUUACCUGACGCUGAGGAGCGAAAGCGUGGGGAGCGAACAGG
rnacentral:rRNA from 1 species